AAAUAAUAGAAGCCCACUUCUUGUAUAUAAUCAGUAAUAGGGUCUGAUUGUUUCUACCUGGCAACCGUAAAUCGCCAGACUACAAGGAAGUUUGAAUAGAUU
rnacentral:ncRNA from 23 species